GUAGGUGAACCUGCGGAGGGAUCAUUAUCGAGUUAGGGUCCUCUGGGCCCGACCUCCAACCCUGUGUCUACCUUACCUCUUGUUGCUUCGGCGGGCCCGUCCCGAGAACUGCUUGGCGGUUCCGAGGGCCGUCGGGGGUCGACUGACCUCUGGCCUGUGCCCGUCGAUGGCCCAACCACACAAACUCUUCAUGGAAUGUGUUGUCUGAGUACUUGUACUAUAUUAAUAGUAAACGCAAAACUUUCAACAA
rnacentral:misc_RNA from 1 species